rnacentral:rRNA from 1 species
UUGAACGCUGGCGGCAGGCCUAACACAUGCAAGUCGAGCGGUAACACAGAGAGCUUGCUCUCGGGUGACGAGCGGCGGACGGGUGAGUAAUGUCUGGGAAACUGCCUGAUGGAGGGGGAUAACUACUGGAAACGGUAGCUAAUACCGCAUAACGUCGCAAGACCAAAGUGGGGGACCUUCGGGCCUCAUGCCAUCAGAUGUGCCCAGAUGGGAUUAGCUAGUAGGUGGGGUAACGGCUCACCUAGGCGACGAUCCCUAGCUGGUCUGAGAGGAUGACCAGCCACACUGGAACUGAGACACGGUCCAGACUCCUACGGGAGGCAGCAGUGGGGAAUAUUGCACAAUGGGCGCAAGCCUGAUGCAGCCAUGCCGCGUGUGUGAAGAAGGCCUUCGGGUUGUAAAGCACUUUCAGCGGGGAGGAAGGCGGUGAGGUUAAUAACCUCAUCGAUUGACGUUACCCGCAGAAGAAGCACCGGCUAACUCCGUGCCAGCAGCCGCGGUAAUACGGAGGGUGCAAGCGUUAAUCGGAAUUACUGGGCGUAAAGCGCACGCAGGCGGUCUGUCAAGUCGGAUGUGAAAUCCCCGGGCUCAACCUGGGAACUGCAUUCGAAACUGGCAGGCUAGAGUCUUGUAGAGGGGGGUAGAAUUCCAGGUGUAGCGGUGAAAUGCGUAGAGAUCUGGAGGAAUACCGGUGGCGAAGGCGGCCCCCUGGACAAAGACUGACGCUCAGGUGCGAAAGCGUGGGGAGCAAACAGGAUUAGAUACCCUGGUAGUCCACGCCGUAAACGAUGUCGAUUUGGAGGUUGUGCCCUUGAGGCGUGGCUUCCGGAGCUAACGCGUUAAAUCGACCGCCUGGGGAGUACGGCCGCAAGGUUAAAACUCAAAUGAAUUGACGGGGGCCCGCACAAGCGGUGGAGCAUGUGGUUUAAUUCGAUGCAACGCGAAGAACCUUACCUGGUCUUGACAUCCACAGAACUUUCCAGAGAUGGAUUGGUGCCUUCGGGAACUGUGAGACAGGUGCUGCAUGGCUGUCGUCAGCUCGUGUUGUGAAAUGUUGGGUUAAGUCCCGCAACGAGCGCAACCCUUAUCCUUUGUUGCCAGCGGUUCGGCCGGGAACUCAAAGGAGACUGCCAGUGAUAAACUGGAGGAAGGUGGGGAUGACGUCAAGUCAUCAUGGCCCUUACGACCAGGGCUACACACGUGCUACAAUGGCAUAUACAAAGAGAAGCGACCUCGCGAGAGCAAGCGGACCUCAUAAAGUAUGUCGUAGUCCGGAUUGGAGUCUGCAACUCGACUCCAUGAAGUCGGAAUCGCUAGUAAUCGUAGAUCAGAAUGCUACGGUGAAUACGUUCCCGGGCCUUGUACACACCGCCCGUCACACCAUGGGAGUGGGUUGCAAAAGAAGUAGGUAGCUUAACCUUCGGGAGGGCGCUUACCACUUUGUGAUUCAUGACUGGGGUG